rnacentral:rRNA from 1 species
CGGGAGGCAGCAGUGGGGAAUAUUGCACAAUGGGCGCAAGCCUGAUGCAGCAACGCCGCGUGAGGGAUGACGGCCUUCGGGUUGUAAACCUCUUUUAGCAGGGAAGAAGCGAAAGUGACGGUACCUGCAGAAAAAGCGCCGGCUAACUACGUGCCAGCAGCCGCGGUAAUACGUAGGGCGCAAGCGUUAUCCGGAAUUAUUGGGCGUAAAGAGCUCGUAGGCGGUUUGUCGCGUCUGCUGUGAAAUCCGGAGGCUCAACCUCCGGCCUGCAGUGGGUACGGGCAGACUAGAGUGCGGUAGGGGAGAUUGGAAUUCCUGGUGUAGCGGUGGAAUGCGCAGAUAUCAGGAGGAACACCGAUGGCGAAGGCAGAUCUCUGGGCCGUAACUGACGCUGAGGAGCGAAAGGGUGGGGAGCAAACAGGCUUAGAUACCCUGGUAGUCCACCCCGUAAACGUUGGGAACUAGUUGUGGGGUCCAUUCCACGGAUUCCGUGACGCAGCUAACGCAUUAAGUUCCCCGCCUGGGGAGUACGGCCGCAAGGCUAAAACUCAAAGGAAUUGACGGGGACCCGCACAAGCGGCGGAGCAUGCGGAUUAAUUCGAUGCAACGCGAAGAACCUUACCAAGGCUUGACAUAUACGAGAACGGGCCAGAAAUGGUCAACUCUUUGGACACUCGUAAACAGGUGGUGCAUGGUUGUCGUCAGCUCGUGUCGUGAGAUGUUGGGUUAAGUCCCGCAACGAGCGCAACCCUCGUUCUAUGUUGCCAGCACGUAAUGGUGGGAACUCAUGGGAUACUGCCGGGGUCAACUCGGAGGAAGGUGGGGAUGACGUCAAAUCAUCAUGCCCCUUAUGUCUUGGGCUUCACGCAUGCUACAAUGGCCGGUACAAAGGGCUGCAAUACCGCGAGGUGGAGCGAAUCCCAAAAAGCCGGUCCCAGUUCGGAUUGAGGUCUGCAACUCGACCUCAUGAAGUCGGAGUCGCUAGUAAUCGCAGAUCAGCAACGCUGCGGUGAAUACGUUCCCGGGUCUUGUACACACCGCCCGUCAAGUCAUGAAAGUCGGUAACACCUGAAGCCGGUGGCCUAACCCUUGUGGAGGGAGCCGUCGAAAGGG